UACGUAGGGUACGAGCGUUGUCCGGAAUUAUUGGGCGUAAAGGGCUCGUAGGCGGUCUGUCACGUCGGGAGUGAAAACUCAGGGCUUAACCCUGAGCCUGCUUCCGAUACGGGCAGACUAGAGGUAUGCAGGGGAGAACGGAAUUCCUGGUGUAGCGGUGAAAUGCGCAGAUAUCAGGAGGAACACCGGUGGCGAAGGCGGUUCUCUGGGCAUUACCUGACGCUGAGGAGCGAAAGUGUGGGGAGCGAACAGG
rnacentral:rRNA from 1 species